rnacentral:misc_RNA from 1 species
AGGAAAGGUUUUAUGUGCACUUUUGACUGUAAAAAAUGUGGUGAAAUAUUAAAAUUUGAAGUUAUAGGGUCUAAUAACCCUUUAGAAAAAGAAUCCACCAAAUUGGUAGAUUCAUAUAGAUUCACCUGAAUCGUAAGAUUCAGUCAAUAUUCAAAUGCAUUUGUGAUUCAGCCUGUAGAUUCGAAUUGCUAGGACGGGAAAUCGAAUCUUAUCAUAUGAUUCGAAUCGAGAAUUGUAAGAUUCU